UCUAGCACAAGGACGAGGCAGGGUCCCAUGAGUGUAGGGGUUGGCCUAUUUAUUAUACCUGCUGUCCAGGUGCACAUGGACCUGUGGCAUAAUGUGUAGCACAGACAGUGUCACUAGGCAGCGUCAGCAAACCAACUUGGGUGCAAUAGUCAAAUAGGAGCAACCCAGGAUUUCAUAUCUUUGAGGCAAGUAACGACCCUGUACAACUCCCGCAGACAAAUUCACUCCACCAUCUCGAUGAAGACAACUUCCAGGACGAUGAGCCUCAUCACGUGAACCUCAGAUGAACGGGGACCCAAGGGACCCAUGUACCUGCCAGGACCCUGACUCAGAAGCAUGUGCCUGAAUCAAAACUCCAGAUGAAGUCAUUGCUCUCUCUCCUCAUUUCUCAGCUUGCUCACCUUUACCCACUUCCACCUCCCAGCCUGGCCAAAACUCCUCAUGGAAGACAGACUACGUGCUUUGCCCCACAAAUCAAGACAUACACAUCCUGUCGAUUUAAAGGAUGUCCAUGACUUAAUACCAUAUUGACAGAUGGAAAAGCACUCUCAUGGCAAUUGGAUGGGAUUUCAUGGAACAGCAAUGGCAGACAGAGGCUUGCAAUCAUCAGUGAAUUAACAGAAUCAAGAGUCUGCUUGCAGUCCCCCAAGAUUGCAUUCACCAUCAGCACCAUCCCCUUCAGUGCCUGAUGCCUUCCACACAGGCAUUCUAGUUUAUUUUCUCUCACCUCUACUAUGGGUUGAAUUGUGCCCCCCCCCAAAAAAAGAAAUAAUGAAGUCCUGCCCCCAGGUACCUGCAAAUAUUUUGAAUAUUUGCGAAUGGGCUCUUUAGAGACAUGAUGGAGCUAAGAGGAAGCCACGAGGGUGGGUGCUAAUCUGAAGAGUAGCAUCCUUAUAAGAAGAAGGAAUGCCAUGUGAAGACAGACUCAUGGGUGAUGACAGAGGAGCUCAGAGCAGAGCAGCUACGAACUUAGCCAACUUAGUGAGGCCAGGACUGCCAGGAGCCUCAGAGCCAGGGGGAGGGAGGAAGGAUCUAGCUUCAGAGGGAUUCCAGCCCUGCCAACACCUUGAUGCCAUAUAUCUGUCCUCCAGAACCACGAGAGAAUAAGUCCUAUUGUUUUAAGCCACCCAGUUUGUGGCACUUUGUCCUGGCAGCCCAGGAGACUGAGCCACCUCCUCUUGGCCAAUCAUCUUCUGAGCUAUGAUUCAGUGGGGGUGCAGUGGGGACCCCAGGCCAUUUAAAUAAAACUCGUUCCAGCGAAAUCUU